rnacentral:ncRNA from 1 species
GCCCAUCGCUGGGGGUGCUGAACCUUGUGGGCUGGCUGUCAUAGAGCAGCGAGCCGGGGUUGGGCUGAGAUAGUCCCUUUGAACCUGUUGAGGUAAUCCUCGCGCAGGGAAGCCGUUUUUCGGGGGC